rnacentral:rRNA from 1 species
CCUACGGGAGGCAGCAGUGGGGAAUAUUGCACAAUGGGGGAAACCCUGAUGCAGCGACGCCGCGUGAGCGAUGAAGUAUUUCGGUAUGUAAAGCUCUAUCAGCAGGGAAGAAAAUGACGGUACCUGACUAAGAAGCCCCGGCUAACUACGUGCCAGCAGCCGCGGUAAUACGUAGGGGGCAAGCGUUAUCCGGAUUUACUGGGUGUAAAGGGAGCGUAGACGGCUUGGCAAGCCAGAUGUGAAAGGCUGGGGCUCAACCCCAGGACUGCAUUUGGAACUGUCAUGCUAGAGUGUCGGAGAGGCAGGCGGAAUUCCUAGUGUAGCGGUGAAAUGCGUAGAUAUUAGGAGGAACUCCGAUUGCGAAGGCAGUUCACUGGACUGCAACUGACACUGAGGCUCGAAAGUGUGGGUAUCAAACAGGAUUAGAUACCCUUGUAGUC